GGAAGAGAUCGCGGGAGAGGGCGCUAUCGCAGAUCUUCACAUAGGACUCUUCGUCAAGGCUGGAAAAAAGUGGGAUAAAAUAAUAGUAAUGCAAUUGCGUGUGGCAAUGUCCUUAUGAACGAUUCCCAGGGAGUGCAGAUAGGCCAAUCCCUUGGUGAUGUGCAGCCCAAACUCAACCAGUUGGCGCGUACUCAAUGCUGUGCUCGAUUCCCGCGACUUUUGCAAAUGGUUUGCUAUAUAGAUAAUUCUUUAGAUAUUUCCCACACUCCCUCACACCUUCCAUUUUGUACUUACAUCUUGAGAUUGCCCUUGGACGGA